GAAAAUUUAAUUUGAUAGAAAUGUUCCUUGACUCCUCACCUACUAACAUGGAGCAAUUAGAUUCUAAAAAGAUGAUGUAUGGAGUGAUAAAUGAAGAGAGGAGGGAGAGGGUUGGAGAGAUUGAUAGAGAAAGAAAAGGAGGUAUGUUGGGGGGUUUGUGAUUUUUAUUUCUUUUAUUUUUUACGCUAUUACUUCUAAUUAAUGUUAUGUUGGCAUAAUUGAGUUAUGAAAUUCUUAAUUAGUUUUAAAGUAGUUCAUUGAUAUUUAAUUGUAAAAAAGUAAGUUAUGU
rnacentral:lncRNA from 1 species